rnacentral:rRNA from 1 species
AUACGUAGGGGGCGAGCGUUGUCCGGAAUGAUUGGGCGUAAAGGGCGCGUAGGCGGCCCGGUAAGUCUGGAGUGAAAGUCCUGUUUUUAAGAUGGGAAUUGCCUUGGAUACUGUCGGGCUUGAGUGCAGGAGAGGUAAGUGGAAUUCCCAGUGUAGCGGUGAAAUGCGUAGAGAUUGGGAGGAACACCAGUGGCGAAGGCGACUUACUGGACUGUAACUGACGCUGAGGCGCGAAAGUGUGGGGAGCAAACAGGAUUAGAUACCCUGGUAGUCCACGCUGUAAACGAUGAAUGCUAGGUGUAGGGGGUAUCGACCCCUUCUGUGCCGCAGUCAACACAAUAAGCAUUCCGCCUGGGGAGUACGGCCGCAAGGUUGAAACUCAAAUGAAUUGACGGGG